UAAAAGCAGACAAAACAAAUCCUGUCAAACAGCACGUAGAACAACAAUAUUUAUGAAAUAAACAAAAAUAAUGAAGUCAAUAAUACAAUAGACGAAAUUAUUAGCACAAACAAGAACCACAGAACAUGGAAACAAACAAUUAAAAGUUUUAACGCAACAAAUUAUAUUGUUACGGACGAAAAUUUUAGUAUAAAGUUUUAACAUUAACAAACAAUGGGAAGACGCAAAGAAAGCAAACGAAAAAGUUCCAUUACUCUAUCUGGAUUCUUCAGUCAUGUCGUGGGGUAUUUUGUAUAUUGUGUCCUCAGAACUAUACCCAUACUGUGCUAUCUUGCUAUAGGCAUCCUUUACAUCAUUUACUCAAGUGUUCACUAUUGGAUCUUCUGCUGUUAACACAUUACCAUGUAUAUCAGUACCUUCUUCAACAUAAAAACGUUCAAUAAGUCGCGUCUGUGCCUCCACAAGUUCAAGCUAAGAUAAUAGGAGUAAGAUUAUAAAAGUAGUAUUUUAUCCAAAUGCAAAUGCAGCUCUCAUCGCUAAAAUGUCCUUGCCAAAUUUUGUUUUUGGUUGUUUUGAUUAAAUAACAUAGGCCCUAAACUUA